UGACCAGGGCUGGAGAGAUGGCUCAGAGGUUAAGAGCACUGGCUAUUUUCACAGAGGACCCAGGUUCAAUUCCCAGUACCUACAUGGCAG
ensembl:miRNA